CAGUCGCCGCGGGAAAACGGAGGGAGCUAGCGUUGUUCGGAAUUACUGGGCGUAAAGCGCGCGUAGGCGGUUACUCAAGUCAGAGGUGAAAGCCCGGGGCUCAACCCCGGAACUGCCUUUGAAACUAGGUGACUAGAAUCUUGGAGAGGUCAGUGGAAUUCCGAGUGUAGAGGUGAAAUUCGUAGAUAUUCGGAAGAACACCAGUGGCGAAGGCGACUGACUGGACAAGUAUUGACGCUGAGGUGCGAAAGCGUGGGGAGCAAACAGGAUUAGAUACCCCCGUAGUCCCUGUCUCUUAUAC
rnacentral:rRNA from 1 species